rnacentral:rRNA from 1 species
GAUGAACGCUAGCGAUAGGCUUAACACAUGCAAGUCGAGGGGCAGCACAAGGUAGCUUGCUAUCUGGGUGGCGACUGGCGCACGGGUGCGUAACGCGUAUGCAACUUGCCCUAUACAGGAGGAUAACCCGUCGAAAGACGGACUAAUACUGCGUAUGCUCACAACUUGGCAUCAAGUGGUGAGGAAAGAAAUUCGGUAUAGGAUAGGCAUGCGUCCCAUUAGCUUGUUGGUGAGGUAACGGCUCACCAAGGCAACGAUGGGUAGGGGAACUGAGAGGUUUAUCCCCCACACUGGUACUGAGACACGGGCCAGACUCCUACGGGAGGCAGCAGUGAGGAAUAUUGGUCAAUGGGCGCGAGCCUGAACCAGCCAAGUCGCGUGAAGGAUGACUGUCUUAUGGAUUGUAAACUUCUUUUAUACGGGAAUAACAAGAGUCACGUGUGACUCCCUGCAUGUACCGUAUGAAUAAGCAUCGGCUAACUCCGUG